UUAUCCAAGAAUUUGCAACCAGAUGGUUCUUUGUACAAGGAAAUUAGGCCUCAGUCAUUGUAUAAUUAGAACUUUCUUUGGAGCUGUAUCAUUUGGUGAAUAUUUUUGCCAUUAAUUGGCUUAUUCUUUUCCUGCUUGGUUUGCUUUUGGUUUUGUUUGACUAUUUGUACAAAGUCUUGUCUUGUGUGUCUUUGUUUUGACCUGAAUUGUCUUGUGUCUUUUGAAUGCAUAGAGAAUGCUCCACGGGGAGCAUAGGCUCCAAUCCAAUCCAAACCAGCCCCAAGGACUAUAAGCUGGAGAUCCAGAUACCAACAAACGAUUCAUGUAAAAGCGAUGGAUCAAAUUCUGCUCUCGGUCCCCUUCAAAAUUGUAUGAGGAUACUCCUUGUCUUAUCAAUUUGUAAAAGAAGUCACUUUGUUCAGUCUAUACCAAGGUCAAUAAUUGUUGGGUUAUUGUUUAUCUGACCCCUUCUUAGCCUUUGUUUGGUUGGGGAAUCUGAAACACCAUUCAUAAGCACACAGACUUUUGACCAACUGUAGUGGUUGGUCUUUUUGUCAUGGGUUUGGCUAUGUCAAAGCCUCAACCUCCUCCUGGCAGAAUUCCUGCUUCUCAUACGAAUUUGCAUUUAACUGGGUAAGUGGCAAAAUAUUGUUUUUACUUGGUGUAUUAGUUUACAAGGGCUGCCAUAACAAAGUAUCACAGGCUAGGUUGUUUAAACAACAGAGAUUUAUGAUUUUCUCACAACUCUGGAAGCUUGAAGUCCAAGAUCAAUGUGUCAGCAAGAUUGGUUUCUUCUAAGGCCCCUCUCCUUGGCUUGUAGAUAGCUGUCUUCUCCCUAGGUCUUCACAUGGUCUUCCCUCUGGGUCUGUGUUCUCAUCUCUUCUUCUAAGGACACCAGUCACACUGGAGUAGGGCCCAUCCUAAUUAUCUCACUUAAACUUAUUCACCACUUUAAAGACCAUAUCUCCAAAUACAAUCACACUUUGAGGCAGUGGGGUUUAGGACUUCUACAGAUGAAUUUUAGGGGGACACAAUUCAGCCUAUAGCAUGUGGAAUAAUUGAUUGUUUGGAGGAGACAUGUCAAAGUGAGGAAAUUAAUACAUUUAACAAUAGUUCUAGAAAAUUAUGAGAAAUUAUAUUAAAAAUUCAAUAAUCAGUAACUUUGUAUGGGGACAGAUGGUUACUAGACUUAUUGUGGUGAUCAUUUCAUAAUGUACAUAUAUAUUAUGCAGGAUAUCUGAAACUCACAUAAUAUUGUACAUCAACUAUAUUUCAAUUUUAAAAAUUCAAUAGUCAGCUUCCUUGAUUGAUAUUCUAAGGACUCAAAACAAAACACUGACUCCAAGAGAGUCCGUCUCCAUAAGUUUCUAUUUCAGUCCCAUCCAAACUUUCAGGAUUCUGUCCUUUUCGCACUGCUCUACUUUAUUGUCACCACCCACUUAGGUCCCUCUCUUCCUUCUGCUCUUUCUCCCGACUUUCUAAGUGAAUUUGUCUCAGGAAAGGCACAAUAACAUCACAAAAUAUCCCCUUAAAACUACUAGAUGAGAAGGCAUAUCUAUAGCACCUGAAAUUUAACUACAGUCUAGUGCUAAAUUGAGGGCUAUAAUUAUAGAAUUUUUGUAAACCUCAGGAAGGAAGAAAUUUGCUGUAGAAUUUAGGAUUUUGCUAGACUGAUUGUCCUGGGCUAUCAGAUUUUUACCAACCUAACUUUAGUUCACUUAAUUGUUAGUCCCCCAUGUGAGGGACAAUGUUAAAAGCAGCAGCAGAGGAGAGAGAGAAACUAAAUAACCCAGCUAUGCCACAGUUUUUUCAAUGGCCCUGAAAGGGCAAGAAAAAUAAGAAAGUUACUAAAAAUAAGGCCAUUUCAGAAGCCUUUUCAUUAUAGGCAGUGGUAUGCUGGUAAAUAUUUAACCACCAGCCCUCAACCUGAAAGGGGACCCAUGAAUUGUAGGGUUUGCAGAUUUCCAUGGUGUAAAUGUACCCACGCUGGCCAAUUCCAGGCUAACAACAUGACAUCAUUGAAUGCAGUAUUGAGUAGAGAGGCUCUCAAGAGCCGGUGCAAGCUGGCUCCAGCACACACUGCUCCAGGCUAGCUUGGCUAGAUUCAGAUUCGCAAACAAAAUAAGGAAUCAACAGUGGCUUCAGGAAACUUCCAGUGAUAUUCUAGGGUAGACCUACAGCCAAAGUCAAGGGAAUCUAUUUUCGUUUUUAAUGUCCUCUGACCUGAAAUAAGAGAAUCGGAAAACAAUAAAUUGGAAUGAAAAGUUGCCAAUUUAAACAUUUCUCAACAGGAAGCCCUAUAGAAAUAAAAAAGUUAAAAAUGGAAACAAACAUCUGGCUUAAGCCACUGGUCCAGAGACCGGAAGGUGCUCUGUGCACUCAGAAUGCAGAGCUUGUUGAAAGGAUCACCUGCAGGUGUUGCAAACAUCGGAAGGACUAAUGCCUCACGAUCUGUAGAAACUCAAGAGCAACUUUCCAAAAUCUGUCCAGCGAUGUCCCUCAGGCAGACAUUAAUACCCAACACUCCCUGCCCUUCCUUCCUCUAAACUCCAUCUAUAGCAGAUAGCUGUUCUACCUGGGUACCUCUGGAGUCUUUUCAUGUGGUUCAGUGAAGCUGACCUCAGCUCCAUCCCCCUCUUCCUUCAGACUAGCAGGUGACUCAGAGGUGGCUGAUCAGGAACUCUAGCCCAUUGGUUCCAUGAUGGGCAAAUGACCCAACCUGUGUCCUUGAUCUCCAGAAUUUUUAGGAAGGAUGGUAUCUCUUCAGUGGAGUUAAGCUGGCUGCCAAGCUAGAAAGCAGAAUCCAUUUCUCCUUAUACCUGGGCUUGCCCUGGGGCAGCUCACCUGUUUUCGUGCCUCUGCUUCUGUUUCCCUGCAAUUACUUUUCCCUUCUCCCUCUUCUCACAGCCUCAUGGCUGCUACUUUGUCAUGGCCACUGAUGCUCCCUCAUUCUUGCCUUUUGCCUUUGCUCUGUGCAUCUCUCCCUUUCUCCCCAUUCCACCCCAUGAUGCAGAGACCAUGUCUGUUUUGUGUACUAUUGUAUACCCAGUGCCUGGAAUACUUUUGAUUAAGGAAUGGUUUUUGCCUUUCUCUGAGUUUUCCAUUCAGACUUGCCAAGACAUGGCAUCUGAUGGGGCUGAGCCCCUUCAUGCCUGUCUUUGGUCAGGCAUCACCCCGGUCCAACCCAUUAUGGCCAAUGUCUAGCAGGGCCACCUGCAGGUAAUUAAAGGCAUCCAGAAAGAUGGAAGUAUAACUUGUUCAGUGCAAACAAGCUAUGAUGGGCAGAUUCUGGCUCGGCUCCUGCAUCCUGGUAUUCCUGCCCUUGUGUAAUCCUCUCCCCUUGAGUGUUGGCUGGGCCUGGUGACUUGCUCCUAACCAAGAGAAUACAGCAAAAGUGAUGGAAGUCAUUCCUAUGAUUAGGUUAUCAAAGAUUGCGACUUCUGUCUUGCUGAUAUUCUCACUCUGGUUCUUUGUUUAUGCUUGCCCUGUUGGAGAGGACCAUCUGUCAAGGGACCGUGGGUGACAUUCAGCCAACAGCAGAAAACUGAAUCCUACCAACGGUCACGUGAGCUGCGAAGUGUACCCAUUCCAGCAAAGCCUUCAGAUGAGACCAGAACCUCAGCUGACGCCUGGAUUUCAGCCUUGUGAGAGACCCUGAGGCAGAGGACCCAGCUGAGCGGUUCCUGGAUUCCUGACCUACACAAAUUCAGUGAUUUCAGAAGCCACGUGGUCCAGGUGGCAUAGCGCAAGAUGGAGGAGGACCACCCAACCAGUAUCAGACUGAGAUCGGAGGGAGAGAUGAACUUCGUUUCCAUGAGUCAGGAAUUCAGGGGUGUUCCAUCGGGCAGUUCCCACCCAAGGUAUCUCAUGAGGGUACACUCAGAUGUUGGCCAAUGCUGCAUCAUCUGAAGGCUCUAGGCUGGAGGAUCCAUUUCCAAGAGGGUGCACUCAUGUGGCUGUUGUCCAGAAGCCUCAGCUCCUUUCCGCACAGUGAUCCAAGACACCAAAGAGGAAGCUGUGAUGCCUUCACACGCUGUCACUUCCAUCAUGUAAAUUUCCUGGUCACACAGGGACCUGGUGGGUGCAAAGAGCAGAAGGUCUGGAAUGAGGCUGCCUGGAGCAAAUUCCGGUUCUCAUCUUUACUGGCUGUGUGACCUUGGAUCAAGGCAGGAAUGGAGAGAGCACAAGCCUUUGAGUUGAAAGACCCAGACUGGAGUUCUAACUCAGCCCUGGCCCUGUCCUCAGAAGGAGCUGACACCUCAGGAAAAUGCACAGAUCCUCAGGGAACGACACGCCACUGACUUCAGGAGGCCAGGUGUGACCACGUGACUGGCCUGUCCCUUCUGGGCAGAACUUCAAGUGCAAGCCUGUGAUCCGCCAUAUUCCCUCAUCCUGCCUCGGUGACAGGGGAGGCGUGUGUUGAGAUGAAGCUUCCCUGUCCUUGGUCCCUUAGCAUUUGGGGCCUUGACCCUGAAGAGACUGACCUCCUAGGGCUAGCGAAUUCCUAGAGAUAGCAAACAGCUCCUGUGAGAACGCGCCUUUGAUACACAAACCAACCAAUCUACAGCCACAGCCCCAACUAUGUCUUCUAUCAAACUCACACCCAAGCCAGUGUUUUCCCUGCCCUGAAUCACCCCAGGACCAGGUACUGGACAGCUAGGGGCCACACCUGUAGCCCAGACCUGCCAGAAUUAUCCAAACUAGUCAACCCUAUGCUUACUCAGUGUACCCACUCUGCCUCGCCCAUUCCUUCCUGCGAAAACCCCAAUAAAGGCUCUGGGCCAUGCUAUUCCCUGGCCCUCUGUGCCUCCCGACCAACCCCGGUCCCUCUCCAUGUGGCACUGCAAGAUGUUCCGUGCCUCCUGCUUCUACGGAUAUGUGAGUAGAAACUUCUUUAUGAUCAUCAUUUUUGUGCCUGCAUGUCUUACCAUUCCUGAUAAAAAUAAGUCCCACUCCAUUUUAACUCAAACCUGAUCCAUCCUGAUGGAUACACUAGGAGGAAGAUUGGGACUGGCAUCAGCCACACCGGAUUUUCUUACCCUCCUCCCCACCUCUGGGUUCUGCUUCGCUCCGGGCUAGCCUCUCCUACUGCAGGUGGGCUUUUGUGUGAGGAAGGUGGGCCCGAGCAUCCCCGGCUUCACUACCAGAGCCGAGAGGCAGGAGGCUGUCUUCGCUGCUGAUUCCAGCAGAACAGGCAUAGGGAAAGAUCAGUCUGGCCCAGUUUGAGUCAGGUGCAAUCAUGGGACAAUCUCUGCAGGGCACGGCCGUCGGUCAGGACUGAGCCAUCCACUCACCCCUGUGCCUGGGUGGGCGGACAGUGCUGGAAGCCAAGGGGAGCCACCACCGAGACCUAUCAUCGCCCUUCCGUGAAUGGAGUCUGGACACCCAAACCCUGCCUCGCCCUAAGGGAAGAAGUUUGCAGGCAGCUGCUCAUCGCACAAAGUACUACUGGGAAACCAGACAAGCACGGAACGAAGGAACUUCAUUUGAGGUAGAAGCUCAGAGGUUUUUUCUGAGAUAGGGUCAAGCCAACCCAUUAACAUGGUAUCUACACACCAUCCAUCCUCGCCAAUAGUAGGAAAACCACCCACUUAAACGAGCGCGUGAGGUGAAGGGUAGCAAACGUUUUAUCAGUGUUAUUUCUUGAAUGCCCUCUAUGUGUCAUGCAUCCAGAUGAUUCUGUUCAGGUGGAUCUGGCUAAAGGAAUGUUCAACUGUCCAGACACCCAUGCCAGGCUUCCUGCUUCUAGUCAGUUUCGUAUGG